UACAGAGGGUGCUAGCGUUGUUCGGAAUCAUUGGGCGUAAAGGGCGUGUAGGCGGUUUGUUAAGUCAUGUGUGAAAUCCCUCGGCUCAACCGGGGAACGACGCAUGAAACUGGCAAGCUAGAGUACCAAAGAGGGGGGUGGAAUUCCCGGUGUAGCGGUGAAAUGCGCAGAUAUCAGGAAGAACACCCGUGGCGCAAGCGGCCACCUGGCUGCCAACUGACGCUGAGGCACGAGAGCGUGGGGAGCGAACCGG
rnacentral:rRNA from 1 species